rnacentral:rRNA from 1 species
UACAGAGGUCCCAAGCGUUGUUCGGAUUCACUGGGCGUAAAGGGUGCGUAGGCGGACUGAUAAGUCAGUGGUGAAAUCUCUCAGCUUAACUGAGAAACUGCCAUUGAUACUGUCGGUCUAGAGUAUAGAUGACGUUGGCGGAAUAUGACAUGUAGUGGUGAAAUACUUAGAUAUGUCAUAGAACACCGAUUGCGAAGGCAGCUAACGAAACUAUAACUGACGCUGAGGCACGAAAGUGCGGGGAUCAAACAGG